UUAAUGUCUGGUAAUGGGAAUGAUGGGAAUUUAACCUUCUUCCAGAGUAUCAAUUGGAGGGCAAGUCUGGUGCCAGCAGCCGCGGUAAUUCCAGCUCCAAUAGCGUAUAUUAAAAUUGUUGCAGUUAAAAAGCUCGUAGUUGAAUUUCUGCUGCAUUUCAUUUCUCUUUCUGAGUUUGUUUUUGCGGCUUAUUUCGGUUUGAUUUUUUCUUUCCGGAUGAUUACUUUGAGAAAAUUAGAGUGCUCAAAGCAGGCUUUUGCCUUGAAUAGUUUAGCAUGGAAUAAUAAAGUAGGACUUUGGUUCUAUUUUGUUGGUUUUAGGUACCAAAGUAAUGGUUAAUAGGA
rnacentral:rRNA from 1 species